CAUCCUAGGACGACUUCUGGAGACAGAUUUCUUCCCUUCGGGGACCUAGUGACAGGUGCUGCAUGGCUGUCGUCAGCUCGUGUCGUGAGAUGUUGGGUUAAGUCCCGCAACGAGCGCAACCCUCGUCCUUAGUUGCCAUCAUUAAGUUGGGCACUUUAAGGAAACUGCCGGUGAUAAGCCGGAGGAAGGUGGGGAUGACGUCAAGUCCUCAUGGCCCUUACAGGCUGGGCUACACACGUGCUACAAUGGCAUCUACAGUGGGCAGCUAUUCCGCAAGGAUGCGCUAAUCUCCAAAAGAUGUCUCAGUUCGGAUUGUCCUCUGCAACUCGAGGGCAUGAAGGCGGAAUCGCUAGUAAUCGCGGAUCAGCAUGCCGCGGUGAAUACGUUCCCAGGCCUU
rnacentral:rRNA from 1 species